GAAGUGUAUGAUCGGUGCAGAU
rnacentral:siRNA from 1 species